rnacentral:rRNA from 1 species
UAGUCCACGCCGUAAACGAUGGACACUCGUUGUCGGAUCUGUCAUGGAUUCGGUGACCAAGUUAACGCAUUAAGUGUCCCGCCUGGGGAGUACGUCCGCAAGGAUGAAACCCAAAGGAAUUGACGGGGGCCCGCACAAGCGGUGGAGCAUGUGCUUUAAUUCGAUGCAACGCGAAGAACCUUACCUGGUCUUGACAUACCAGUGCCCGCUUUAGAGAUAAAGUUUUUUCUUCGGAAACACUGGAUACAGGUGCUGCAUGGUUGUCGUCAGCUCGUGUCGUGAGAUGUUGGGUUAAGUCCCGCAACGAGCGCAACCCUUGUCCUUAGUUGCCAGCACGUAAUGGUGGGAACUCUAAGGAGACUGCCUACGCAAGUAGGAGGAAGGUGAGGGAUGACGUCAAAUCAUCAUGGUCCUUACGACCUGGGGCUACACACGUGCUACAAUGGUCGGUACAAACGGGUUGCGAAGCAGCGAU